UCAGGAUUGCUACGCAGGGGAGAGGGCCGUGAACGAGGUUGAGUGUGGGUUCGUUGGCAGAUUUGGGCUGGGAUGAGAGGAAGUAGAAGGAGGGGGAAGGGUGUUCUGUGAUUGUAAUAUGGAUAGCUUCUCUGUUCAAAAUUCUCCAUGGUUCAUACUCACCUUCCAAGGGCGCUAUCUUGGAUGAUUCUAAUAAUGAGAUUACUGAAGAGGAAGUCGUAAGUCAGGGCAUUGACCUGAUUGCUUUGACUCUUUCGUGUCGAUUUUACUGGGAGAGGAGAGCUUGCAGAUCGCCAUGUCAAUUUCAUAUAUAUAGAUUGCUUUGGAGUAAUAUUACUCUAUAAUUAUUUGUUUUUGGGUUAGAAGUAGUCUAGUUUUGCUUGGUGUUCUCUUAAAUUAUGUUAUGAAUUGGCUUCAAGCCUUUUGACUUUGAUGAUAUAACAAGCCUUUUGUAUUGUUCCAAAAUGAAUGAUGUCCAUAUGGUUAACAACCAACACAAGAUUACAACAUAUGUUGUCUCAACAUGAAAAUGAACAACUAAGUCAUACCAAAAUCUGUUGUUUCUUGUUAUAUCAAACAACAGAAGUAAC